rnacentral:lncRNA from 1 species
UUUGUCCACAGAAAACAGAGGUGGGGCCAGAAAAGAGUACGGAAUCUCCACAGAGUUGUGUAAAAAAUGGCUCGAUACCAAGCCGUACAGUUCAGUUCUGUAUGUAUCAUUUGGUUCACAAAACACAAUAGCCACAUCACAAAUGAUGAAAUUGGCAAUGGCUUUAGAGGCUAGUGGCAAGAAUUUCAUUUGGGUUGUUAGGCCUCCGAUUGGCUUUGACAUAAAUUCUGAGUUUAAAGCCAACGAGUGGCUGCCUCGAGGAUUCGAAGAAAGAAUCAAAUGUUCAGGACAAGGGCUAGUGGUACACAAAUGGGCACCUCAGGUGGAGAUUUUAUCUCAUAGGUCUGUAUCUGUAUUUUUGAGUCACUGUGGAUGGAACUCUGUGCUUGAAGCUUUAAGUCAUGGGGUGCCGAUAAUAGGGUGGCCAUUGGCAGCAGAGCAGUUUUACAAUUCUAAGCUGUUGGAAGAAGAGAUUGGGGUUUGUGUGGAGGUAGCUAGAGGGAAGAGCAGUGAGGUUCUGAAAAAAGACAUAGCGGCAAAAAUUGAGUUGGUGAUGAAUGAGACUGAGAAAGGAAUAGAGUUGAGAAAGAAUGCUUAUGAGGUUAGGGAGAUUAUUAAGAAUGCCGUUAAAAAUGAAGAAAAUUUUCAGGGUUCUUCAGUGAAAGCCAUGAAUCAAUUCCUGAAUGCUGCAUCGAUGGUGAAGGAGACAAUUAAUUGAUCAAAGAACGAAGUUUUUGAUGCAUGAACCUAGCCAUUUUAGUGGUGUUACUUGAAAAGGAGUUAAUGACGCAUCUUUUUUUUCUUUUUUGGGUUUGGCCAAUCUUAUAAUAAUUGGUGGCCGGCACGGCAUUCCUCAUUAUUCGUACUCACUUUUUUUGCUAUUAGAUUUGUUUAACGUGGAUGUGUCGGUAACUUUUUGAAUGUUUGAAUAAUUUUCAAAACUUCUAUUUGAUAUCCAAAAUUUUUGUAUUAAAUUUUCUAUUGGUUCUUGUUCUAAUGCUUGUAAAAAUAUUUUUAUUUCUUAAUUUCUUCUUUCACCUACUCUAAUUUCUUCUUUCAACUACUAAAGACCUUCACAAUAUGCGAAAAGCCACUUUUUGAAAUUAUAUAUUCCAAUGUGUUCAGUAUUAUUAUUUACCAUUGAAUCAUCUACAUAAGAAAAGAUGCUAGUUUCUCUUCCUUUGUUAAUAUCUUUACUACAUAUUAAUUAAACAAUUAAGGAGUUUUUUGCCGUACAAUUUCUGAAAGCUUGCUCGCUUAUUGUAUGCAAACGUUGAAGCAACUGAACUUCUCAUUACUCAGAGUGAUUCAUGGAUCUUAGAGGUUAGAAAAAUCACAUGUUCUUGGUGAUUCAUCAUUCACGUCCACUUUCUAUAGAACCAAUCAAUACCUGUCAACUAUUCCUUAAUUACACUGUCUUGUUUGGUAUUGUUUUUCAAAUAAUAUUUUUGUAUUUAUUUUGUAAUAGAGAAAUGAUUAAUUUUUUGUGGAUUUGAAAAUGUGUUUGGUAGUUUGCUUUUAUAAUAAUACUUAAAAAUGGAAAAAUAAAAAUAAGUUUGGUUAUUUGUUUGGAAAAAUGAUAAUAAUGAAAAUGAAAGGGUGUUGAAAAAGAAGUUAUAUAAUAAUGAAAGAUGAUGGGAAAAAAAACUUUUAAAAGUUGCUAUUAAAAUAAGAAAUAUAUUUAUUCAUAUAAUUUAAAAAUAAUGUAGUUAAAUUAAUUAAUAAAUAUUUAAGUUGGCAGGUCCUUCAACCAUAAAGAGACAACUUCAGCCAUAAACAAACAACACAUAAGUGACAGUUUCGAUGACUUUUCAUAAACAAAAAAAUGUAGAACAAAUUUUACAAAUUUUAUUGUUUUCUAUUUUCAUGAAGGGAAGACACAGAAUGAGAAUGAUUUGUUGUCAAAGAAUCCAAACAUUGCUGGAAAACGGUACAACCAGACAAGUUUUCCUUUGUUUUAUUUUUGAAAAACAGAAAAGACCAAUUUGGAAACAGUACCAAACAGCCUUUUGAAUUAUGAUUUAGGAUGGGGGGUUUUGUUUGAUUUUGACUGAAUUAUAUGAUAAUUCAAGAAUAUUACCUCUACCUAUUUGCAUGUGGAAGUAUGGCAAUAAAAUGAUUCUUCCAAUCAAAAUAAGCCAUGUGUCAAUGGUACAACAAAAUUACCAAACAAUUUUUUUUUAAAUUUGAUUUUUAGUUUUUAAAUUGUGUAGGGAUAUUUGAACCCAGUAAACUACUCAUUAAACCAUUUACUAGAUAAACUCACCCUCAUAUUUCGAAAUUUAAAAUUUUACUCAACAAACUCACAUAAAUACUCAAUAAACCCUUACUAAACCCAAAUUGUAUAAUAAUAGUGUAUUUAUUCACUAAACCCAUUAAAUUUAUUUAUGAAUCCUUAAUGAAUGUUUCAUUGAAUUUCUUAUAUAGUUAUUCAAAACCUAGAAAAUUCCAGUAGCCCAUCAACCACUAAAUAUAGACUCAUGUUGGCAAUGCCAUGAUCAAAGUAAGAAGAGGAUCCAUUCACCUCAAAAUCAAAAUAUCACCUCUCAAGUAAGCUAAAUGAUUGAUGUUUAAGAAAAGGACCACAAACCAAACAAAUUAAAGAGCAACAUCUUUCAUUUUCAGCCAAGUACUUUACAAAAACAAAAAGAGAAGAAGGUGGAAAGCACUAAGACAACACUAGAGGAUAUUUUUGUAGUAUACUAGUAUAAGUGGCCCAAAAAAAUAAAAAUCAUUCUUUAGUUGAUCAAGGUUUAACAAAAGUACAUUGAAUGUGAAUAUGGGUUCAAAAAGUAUAUGUUUUUUUUUCUUUUUUAUUAUAUUUUAGUGUCUAUAAUUAUAAUUUAAUUUAGAAAUAUUUUAAUUAUUAAAAAUUAUUUUUAAAUGUAGGUUUAAUGAGUAGUUUAGUGAGUUUAAAUAACCAUAGGAUGGUGAAAGUUAAACUUAAUCAUUGGUCGUUGAGAAAGAUCAAAAUUACCAAAAUGACCCCAAUUCCCUCCCUUAUCACUUAUUCCUCUGCUUUUUCUCCUCCUAAUGAUCCUCAUCAACAGCAAUGGCGCAAAGAAAAGAGAAUAUAGUGAUGUUCCCAUUCAUGGCACAGGGCCAUAUAAUCCCCUUCCUAGCAUUAGCCCGUCGCUUGGAAGAAACAAACAAAUACACCAUAACUCUUGUUAACACCCCUUUAAACCUUAAGAAGCUUAAAUCAUCUCUCCCUCAAAAUUCCUCUAUUCACCUUCUUGAAAUUCCUUUCAAUAGCGUAGAGCAUGACCUCCCUCCAUGUACUGAAAACACAGACUCUAUUCCGUAUCAUCUCUUACCAAAAUUCCUUCAAGCAUCAGCAUCGCUCGAACCCCACUUCAAGAAACUAAUCUCUGAACUUGUCAAUGAGCAAAAUGGCCAAAAACCACUUUGUAUCAUCACUGAUACGUUCUUAGGUUGGUGUAAAGAGACAGCACAAGAGUAUGGUAUUUUUCAUGCUAUAUUCAUAGGAGGUGGUGGCUUUGGCUUUGCUUGUUUGUACUCGAUGUUGCUAAACCUACCUCACCGCAGCACGGAUUCUGAUGAAUUUCUGUUGCCGGAUUUUCCAGAAGCUUCAACACUUCAUGUAACACAGAUAUCUCCUUACUUACGUGCUACCGAUGGAAGUGAUUCUUUUUCAGUGUUUUAUAAGAAGUUGCUUCUUCUAUGGAAGGAUGCAGAUGGAAUUUUGGUUAACACGGUUGAGGAACUUGACAAGAUUGGACUGAUGUAUUUCAAGAGAAAAUUUGGCCGGCCGGUUUGGCCAAUAGGGCCUGUUCUUUUGUCCACGGAAAGCAGAGCUGGGGCCAGAAAAGAGUACGGAAUCUCCACAGAGUUGUGUAAAAAAUGGCUUGAUACAAAGCCGUACACUUCAGUUCUGUAUGUAUCAUUUGGUUCACAAAACACAAUAGCUGCAUCACAAAUGAUGCAAUUGGCAAUGGCUUUAGAGGCUAGUGGCAAGAAUUUCAUUUGGGUUGUCAGGCCGCCGAUUGGCUUUGACAUAAAUUCUGAGUUUAAAGCCAACAAAUGGCUGCCUCGAGGAUUUGAAGAAAGAAUCAAAUGUUCAGGACAAGGGCUAGUGGUACACAAAUGGGCACCUCAGGUGGAGAUUUUAUCUCAUAGGUCUGUAUCCGCAUUUUUGAGCCACUGCGGAUGGAACUCUGUGCUUGAAGCUUUGAGUCAUGGGGUGCCGAUAAUUGGGUGGCCAUUGGCAGCAGAGCAGUUUUAUAAUUCUAAGCUCUUAGAAGAAGAGAUGGGGGUUUGUGCGGAGAUAGCAAGAGGGAUGAGUUGUGAGGUUCUGAAAGAGGACUUAAGUGCAAAAAUUGAGUUAGUGAUGAAUGAGACUGAGAAAGGAACAGACUUGAGAAACAAAGCUAAUGAGGUCAAGGUGAUUAUUAAGAAUGCUGUGAGAAAUGAAACAAAUUUUAAGGGGUCUUCUGUGAAAGCCAUGGAUCAAUUCUUGAAUGCUGCAUUGAUAAUGAGACAGACGGAAAAGGGAGCAUCAAACAUCAAAGGAUGAGGUUUGAUUUUGCGUGGAAGUAAGUCUCCAUUGCCAUUUCUGUCAAUGAAAAAUAAUGUCAUCUUUUAACGAGACAGUUUUUGGAAAAUUCUUGAAGUAAUGUUAAGUUUUGGGAAAAUUCUUGAAGUAAUGUUAUCUUUGUAUUAACUUUCGAUCAAUAAUAUGAAAUUUAAUUUUAUAUAAAUUAAUCCCAUACCAAAGAGCCACCUCUGUUUUUUGUGACUACAUCUAUCGAGAGUUUGAGUUUAAAGCUUGUUAUUUCCGAGUGGGAUCAAGAAUUUAUAGAGCAUAAUUCCUUUUUUUUUUUUUUUUUUUUGAUAGAGCAUAAUUCCUUAGUAUUUAAUGUUUUCAAUAAAUGAAAGUAAGAUUGGGCCGGAAAAACAUCACGCACGAUCCACAUCAAGCCCAACCCAGACCAUAUCAUUUGGGCUGGUUUGAUAAGGGAAACUCAAUCUAUAAUAAAUUUCGGCAGGGAUUGGGUUGAUGAUUUUCACAAAAUAAUUUCUAAAAUGAUAAAUCGAUAAAUUACUGUUGAAAAAAUAAUAAUAAAAGGUAGAAAUCUGCAUCUCUUGAUUUAUCAAUGGCACCAUCAUCGUCAAUGACCAAGCUUCUGAUAGUGGCUAUAACGAUAUUUGUAAGUUUUGGCUAAAUGGGAUUGCCACCAUUAAAUUUUUUAGUUAUUUGUAUCUUAGAUUUUUCUAAGAUCAUAAUAUGUCAAAAUAAAUUAUUGAAUCUAAAAGGAAAAAAAAAUUGAACUAACUGUACUUUUUUUUUUAAUGGAAAUGCAUUUUGAUUAAAGUAUAGUAAAACGUUAAUAGCAAGAAUAAACAUGACUUUUCAUAUGAAAUUUUGGUUCAAUCGCAUGCUGUAAAUUUCAAAAUUUGGGACGCCAUAAAUUUCAAAGUUUGAGAAACAAAAAAGUUAUGAGAUUUUUCUAAAUAUGUGCAUUGAGAUCUCCUUCUUACCAUUCCUUAAUUACAUUUUUUUUUGUUGAAUUAUAUUGUGUUUUGUGGUCACUUAAAAUAGGAUUCAACUUUAUACCAUUGAACCAAUCAUGUUAAAAUGUUGGAUGAAAUUGAAUUAAAAUUAUUCAUAGCAUUAGAUGGAGAUUGAGAUUUUAUAAACAAAUGUUGGAUGGUGAUUGGAGAAAAGAGAUAUUGCAAAUGGCGACGCUGAUCGGAGAAAACAAAAAUACCCUAAAGUAUAUAAACGCUUGGUUUCGCAAUGAUAUAUAUUGUCUGAUUUAUUGAAAUUUGCUUUAAAGUAUACUCUAAUUUACUGGAUUGCUUGAAAAAAUAAAGUGUAAUGUUAAUCGCAUCUCGUAGAUUUGUAUGCAAAAUAAAUUUUAAUAUAAUAUUUUAAAUUAAUUAAAAUAACAGUAAUUUUCCAUUACAAUAAUAAAUCGUCUUUAAUUAUUUAUGAAGACAAAAUUUGGGCUAUUUUCAUAUUGAAAGCACAUAUACUCUUUGUCUGCAGGGGCGACCCUCCAAGACUGAGACCAUCUAAAACUUGACUCAACAACUCAGCAUCGUAUAUAUAUUCCCAAAAGAUGAAAGCUUUGGUUUCCCAACUAAGUCACCCACCUGUGCUUUUCCCCUGCGUAUUUAGGGAUGGCAAAAAUCCCUACGAAGACGGGUAUUUUCGGAGAUUUUUUCCAUUCAGAGAGAAUAUGAGGAUAAUUUCAUACCCAAUUUCUUAUUCAGGAAAGGGACAUAGAAAUUUUUUAAUUUCUUAUUCGGGGAGGGGACGGGGAUGAGGUGGAAUCCUCAUCCCCUACCCAUUUCCCCAUUUUAAUUUUUAAUUUAAUUUUUAUUUUUUAAAAUUACUAGUAAAUAAAUAAUAAAAUUUGAAUUAUAAAAUUAUAAGUAUUGGUAAAAAUAAAAAAUAUCAAAAUAUUUAUAUUAUUAAACUUUUAGGCCUAAUUAACUAAUUAAAGUCCUAAAUUUUUAUUUAAGACAUUAAAAAGACCGGACAUAUUCUAUUAGCCCAAAAUUUUUAUUUUUAUUUUAAUAUUCAUUAAAUAUUUUAAACUUAAAUCUAUUUUUUAUUUAUCUUAAAUCUAUUUUUUAUUUAUUUUUAGAUGUUAUAAUUGCCCACAACAAAUCACAAUUUUAAUAUCCAAUCUAAUUUAAUAUUUGCUCUUGAUUUGUUUCGACUUAACUAUUGUGUUGUAAAGGGAAUAGUCCACAUUUAUAAAGUGCUCACGCCACCAUUGAAAAGUUAAUUUUGAAUCUAAAUUUGAUUUUAUUUGUAACAAUUUUGUAUUAGGCUAUUAAUUUGUUCAUGAUAGUUUGUAUCCCUUGCAUGCUGCGUUACUUACUAAUUUAAUAUAUGUGACUUUUGUAAUGGAUAUUAAUGUAAGAUAUAUUUCGAAAUUUACUUUUAUUUGAAUUUUUUUAUUUUAAUAUGAUUAACUCAAAAUCGAAAACAAAAAAAAAUGUAUUAGUUAUUCAGGGAUCGGGGACCCUCGGGGAUCCCCUGUUAUUAUUCGGGGAGGGGAUGAUGAUUCUCUUAAACAAUUGUGACGGGGAUGAAGAGGGGACGGGGAUAUACGCAAAAUAUCGGGGAUGGGUACGGGGAGAUUGGUCCUCUCCCCUCCCCUCCCCAUUGCCAUCCCUAUGCGUAUUGGUGUUGGAUCAAUGUUGUAUAUGCCUUCGCUACAAAAUUAGACAAUUUUAAAAAUUUUGGUGAUUAUGAUCCUAUUUAGGACUGAAUUGUUGUAACUUUUAAAGUACAAGUUUUGUGAAAAAAAAAGAUAUAAUUAUGAAUUAAGAGUAAAUAAUAUAUAGUAAACAUAAAUUUUAAAUAAUAAUUUUACUAAAAUUAUUAAAGAUUUAUUAGACUUUUCAUCACAUAAAUAUAAAAUCAAAUCAAAUUAGCUUUUAAAAUAUAACAGUUAAUGUUUACCAAAUACUUUAAUACUGUAACUUUUAAGGUAUAACUGUCCAACCUUAAUUCUAAAUAUAGUCUAUGAGUGUGUUUGGGAGUGAUGCGAGACAACUCGGUUGCUAAUGUAUUUGGUUACAUCUUACAGCUAAACUUUGACAGCUCAACAGUUUAAAAGUUAAAGUUUUUACUCUACAGCUAUAAUUUUUACUCUACAACAACUGCAACUUAAAAAUUACAGUACCUUACUUCCAAACACACCUUAUAUCUAUCACAAACUUGUUCAGAUUACUAACUAAUUAUGCGUUAUUUAACAUAGUAGAAUUCAGUAAUUCACUUAUUAUUAAUUUUUUGUUUUAGAUUUAGGUCUCUUGACCAUCUUUCACCGAUACAAACUGUUUUAUUACAUACCAAAACUGUUAAAAUCAAGGACGGAAGCAGCAUUGGUGCUACUAGGAUUAGUUGUCCCCACUUAAUUAAAAAAAGUAUUUAUUAAUCUAUUUUAUGCUUAAGUCUCACCCUGUAAUCUUUUAUCUUGAUUUCAUUGUUCAGUCCAUUUAUCCUUUAAAAUUAUUUGAACAACUCAGUAACUUGAAAUUAAAAGCCUAAUAGCCUUAAUUCCAGUAUGUUGCCAAAAAAAAAAAAUUAAUUAGCAUUGAUAAUAAAAUUAUUGCGCAAUCAACUCAUAAAAAAUUUAUAUAUAUAUAUAUAUAUUAUGAGUGAAAGAUAUAAUCUUAUAGUUAUUAUUAUUUUUAAAAAAUUACCCCCAUAGAACAAAUUUCUAACUUCAUUCCUUUUUAAAGUAACUCACGUUAUUUUAAAUUUUCAACAAAAGUCAAAGACAAAUAGGUAUAAAUAAUUAUUUUAAAUUUUUUAUUAAAACUUAGCAGUUUGAGAAAAUUUUAUUAAAUAUGAAAUAAGAAAUGAAAUACCAAAUUCAGAGAAUUUAAUUACAUUAUUUUUUCCCAGUUGGAAAUAUGUUGGAAAGAAAUGCCUUCAAAAUUUGCCAUUAAAAUAAGAAAUAUGUUUAUUAAUAUAAAUUAAAAAAUAAUGUAAUUAAAUUGAUUAAUAAAUAUUUGAUUUGGUUGGUCAUUUAACCAUAAAGUGACAACAUACAAGCGACAGAGUUGACGACUUUUUGUGCAGUGUGGAGCCCAUUCUAGACACAAAAAGUUAUGGAACAAAUGGUGCCACCAAACAAAUUUUUACUUCUAUGAAAGGGAAUCAAAAAAUGAGAAUGAUUUGAUGUCAAAAGUCAGUAUGAUCCAAGCAAUGCUGCAAAACGGUGCCACCAAACAAAUUUUUCAUUGUUAUUACGUUAAAAGACAGAAAAAAAAAAAACAAUUUGGAAACAGUACCAAGCAGCCUACUAAAAUUCUCGAAUUAUUUAGGAUUGGGGUUUUCUUUGAUGUUUAAUGAAUUAUUAUUGGCAAAUUGUAGUGAGUCAACAAUUGAAAUUAUAUUGAUCAAAUUGUAUCAGAACAUGAAUUCAUAUAAGUAAAUAGUGAGUAAAAGUUACUAGAUAGUCUGCAGUAAUAAAAUAAACAAUAGAAAAGAAAAUGAAAAAUAGAAAACUUAGAAAAAAAAAAAAGAGGCCUGUUAAACAAUAGUUUCUUUAAAACAAAUUUAUCACCUAUUACAGUGAUGUUAGAUUCAUUGGUAUUUGUUUUUCAAGAUACAACAGGAACAAAUUAUUUGUCAAACACAUACAAAUAAUUUCGGUGAACAUCAACAAUGUAGAAUCUCAAUCAAAACAUAACGUUAGAGGGAAAAAAAUUUAUUUUCUUUUCAAGUGUUCUGUGUGUUUGUUGUAUAUAAAACAUAAGAGAAAUAUUGUUUUUUUUAUAUACAUGAGGGUAUGACUGUUGAAUAAUAAAAUUGAAUAUUUGAAUUCUAUAUUUAAUUUAAUUUGCUUCUGUAAUAGCCCGUUGAAUUCAAAAUAUUUAAUUUUGUAACAACUCAAAAUUUAUUCACAAAUCAAACUAUUUUUUAUUUUUAAUUUUGAAAACUGUUACAAAAUUUAAAAGGAAAUAAAAAAAUGUGGUCAUGCAGGCUUGAGUGAUUUUUUGGUCGACAUUCGCAUAUGCAAGACGCUUGGGUGUACACGAGUUCAACCAAAUUGAGUUUGGAUUGCACUUCCCCUCCCCCCACAAGUGGCGUAGAGAAAACCUCUAUCUUUAAAAUUCUUAUUCAUGUAUGGAUAGGUAUCUAUAUAUAAACACAAAUCCCUUAGCUUAUUUUUUCUAUGUGAGAUAAGUUUUAUUUUUUUUCAAAUUUCUAACUUCAAGAGUGCACUUUGAGAGUCAAUUUUCUCAUUCACCCAAGCAUGAUUUUGAAUAUAUAUAAAUAUAUCAUUCUAAAGCGUUCACAGAAUAGAAUCCAAACCUCUCAAUAUUUUCAUUUUUGUUAAGUGGGUCCCACUCAAAAUGUGCCCUCCAAAAUAGCAUACUAAUAUGCUAUUUUUCAACAACUAUAUGAUAACAAAUUAACAAUAAUGAUAAAGUCAAAAUUAGUUUUGUACAACCAAUGGGUCAUUUGUUUUUUUUUUUUUUUGACUUAAUGACUUAAUUGAAUUUGUUAAGUCAUUAAAUCUAUUUAUUUUUUUCAACUUAAUGAAAAUUUUCAGUCAUUAGGUCAUUAAGUUAUUAAACUAAUUUUUUUAAACUUUUUGUUUAAUCUAAAAAGUCUGAAUGAUAUAAUUAAAAGAUAUUCUCCAAAAUAUCCCUAUCUAAUUAAUUAAUUUUCAUUUUUACCUAAAUAAAAUUUAAUAAUGAGCAGUAUUACCCAUCUCUAUAUAACUUGUGAUAAUAUAUAGUGGUAAACUAUUAUUUUUUUAUCUUUUAAUUUUUUUUCAAAUUAGCAUUAUUUAUCUUCAUAAUUUGUUAUGAAUAUUAUUCAUAUAAAAAUAUCAUAAACUAUAAUAAAUUUGAUAAACAUAUAUAAUAUAGAAUACUAAAGAGUUGUAUUCAAUCGAAUAUGAUUUAUGUUAUAAUCAUAUAUUAUCUUAUUUAUAUUCUUUGAGAUAUUUAUUUAUUUGUUUAACAUUUAUAAUUUGUAAGGGUAUAAAUGUAAAAAUAUCCGUUGUCAGAUUUUUUAAGUAAAAAAAAACUUAAUAUUUAUUUUUAGUGAUUCAAAUAAAAAAUAAACAUAUCAUUUAAAUUCAUACAUUUAGCUCUAUUAAGAAUUAAAACUAAUUUAGAUCUAUUCAGAUUUAAAAAAAAAAAAACAAAUACCACUUAAAUAUAUAAAAAUUAAUGUAAUAUGAAGAAAUUAAUUGAAAAGGGAUAACAAUUAUCUUUUUCAAAUAUGUUGAGUCAUGAUGAUUUUAUACAAACAAUCUCCUCAUGAGAUUAAAAUGAGCAAUGUGUCAAGGGUAUAGCAAAAUUAUCAAAAUGCUCGGUUUGUUAAAUUUAAUUUUCAAUUUUUAAAUUUAGAAAGUCAAAAGUCAAACUAAAUCAUUCGGUCUUUAAAAAAAGCAAAAAUACCAAAAUGACCCCGCUCCCCUUCUUAACCACCCGAUCCUCCACAAUUUCUCCUUAUCCUCUCAUCAAUAGCAAUGGCACAAAGAAAAGAAAACAUAGUGAUGUUCCCAUUCAUGGCACAAGGCCAUAUAAUCCCUUUCCUAGCAUUAGCCCUUCACUUGGAAAAAACAAACAAAUACACCAUAACUCUUGUUAACACCCCUUUAAACCUUAAGCAACUCAAAUCAUCUCUCCCUCAAAAUUCCUCUAUUCACCUUCUUGAAAUUCCUUUCAAUAGCGUAGUGCAUGACCUCCCUCCUUGUACUGAAAACACAGACUCUAUUCCAUAUCACCUCUUUCCAAAAUUCCUUCAAGCAACAGCAUCGCUCGAACCCCACUUCAAGAAACUAAUCUCUGAACUUGUCAAUGAACAAAAUGGCCAAAAACCACUUUGUAUCAUCACUGAUAUGUUCCUUGGUUGGUGUAAAGAGACAGCACAUGAGUAUGGUAUUUUUCAUGCUAUAUUCAUAGGAGGUGGUGGCUUUGGCUUUGCUUGUUUCUACUCUUUGUGGGUAAACUUGCCUCAUCGGAAAACGGAUGCCGAUGAAUUUCUGUUGCCGGAUUUUCCAGAAGCUUCAACACUUCAUGUAACACAGAUAUCUCCUUACUUACGUGCUACCGAUGGAAGUGAUUCUUUUUCAGUGUUUUAUAAGAAGUUGCUUCUUCUAUGGAAGGAUGCAGAUGGAAUUUUGGUUAACACGGUUGAGGAACUUGACAAGAUUGGACUGAUGUAUUUCAAGAGAAAAUUUGGCCGGCCGGUUUGGCCAAUAGGGCCUGUUCUUUUGUCCACAGAAAAUAGAGGUGGGGCCGGAAAAGAGUACGGAAUCUCCGCAGAGUUCUGUAGAAAAUGGCUUGAUACAAAGCCGUACAGUUCGGUUCUGUAUGUAUCAUUUGGUUCUCAAAAUACAAUAGCUGCAUCACAAAUGGUGCAAUUGGCAAUGGCUUUGGAGGCUAGUGGCAAGAAUUUCAUUUGGGUCGUUAGGUCUCCGAUUGGUUUUGACAUAAAUUAUGAGUUUAAAGCCAACGAGUGGCUGCCUCGAGG